rnacentral:rRNA from 1 species
CUGCCGUCUACUCUUGGCCAGCCUUCUGAAAGGAAGAUUAAUCCAGGAUGGGAUCAUGAGUUCACAUGUCCGCAUGAUUAAAGGUAUUUUCCGGUAGACGAUGGGGAUGCGUUCCAUUAGAUAGUAGGCGGGGUAACGGCCCACCUAGUCAACGAUGGAUAGGGGCUCUGAGAGGAAGGUCCCCCACAUUGGAACUGAGACACGGUCCAAACUCCUACGGGAGGCAGCAGUGAGGAAUAUUGGUCAAUGGGCGAUGGCCUGAACCAGCCAAGUAGCGUGAAGGAUGACUGCCCUAUGGGUUGUAAACUUCUUUUAUAAAGGAAUAAAGUCGGGUAUGCAUACCCGUUUGCAUGUACUUUAUGAAUAAGGAUCGGCUAACUCCGUGCCAGCAGCCGCGGUAAUACGGAGGAUCCGAGCGUUAUCCGGAUUUAUUGGGUUUAAAGGGAGCGUAGAUGGAUGUUUAAGUCAGUUGUGAAAGUUUGCGGCUCAACCGUAAAAUUGCAGUUGAUACUGGAUGUCUUGAGUGCAGUUGAGGCAGGCGGAAUUCGUGGUGUAGCGGUGAAAUGCUUAGAUAUCACGA